AGAAAAGGCUCUAUCCUGAAACUAUAUUUGCAUGUAUGCAAGCCCUUUGAAAUUCUUACACUCCUUUGCGUCUAUUAAACCAAGAGGAUAAGCAACCUGGUAAUUUAGCACGGUCAUGAGCAUUUAUCUACACAGUGGGCUCCAAAUGGGUGUCUGAAGGAGAAUUUGACCUUGUUCCCUGAAGUUUGUGAGCAUAGAGUAUGAAGUCUGUUCCUUGUCUAGACAUGGGAUUGGCUGGAGCUGCACCUUAGAGCAAAGAGGAGAGCCAAGAUUGUAGUGGGAGUAAGCCACAAUUCUACAGUACUCAGGGUUACUGGGACCCAGUAAGACCUGACCUGGAAUGUAAGAGAGGAAGACUUGAAGAAGAAGAAAGAGUGAAGUUUGGAUAUUAAAGAAGGCUGAACCUGAUCUCGAACUACACUAGCAGCAAGAAAAACUCAAAUGAACCCCAGAGGGGAGUGACUUGGGGAGCAAAGCAGGAGCCUGGACCAGCUCUGAAGUGCUUGCCAUGGGCCAGGACAAGAAGGAGACAUGGCCAAUUCUCAGCCUGAGGAGGGGAUGCUGAGGCUCCAGAGCCUGUUGCUUCAUGCUCAGCUUGACCAAGAAACUGGGGUCCUUGGACAGCUGCCUGAGCCUGUCC
rnacentral:lncRNA from 1 species